rnacentral:rRNA from 1 species
UAGUCCACGCCGUAAACGAUGGAUACUAGUUGUUGGGAUUUAUCUCAAUGACUAAGCGAAAGUGAUAAGUAUCCCACCUGGGGAGUACGUUCGCAAGAAUGAAACUCAAAGGAAUUGACGGGGCCCGCACAAGCGGUGGAGCAUGUGGUUUAAUUCGAUGCUACGCGAAAACCUUACCUAGGCUUGACAUCCUGCGCUACCCUGUGAAAGCAGGGGUUCCCUUUUGGGACGCAGUGACAGGUGCUGCAUGACUGUCGUCAGCUCGUGUUGUGAGAUGUUGGGUUAAGUCCCGCAACGAGCGCAACCCCCGUCGUUAGUUACCAUCAUUAAGUUGGGCACUUUAACGAGACCGCUUGGCUAUAAGCCAGAGGAAGGUGGGGAUGACGUCAAGUCCUCAUGGGCCUUUAUGUCUAGGGGCUACACACGUGCUACAAUGGGGUAUGACAGAGCGUUGCUACUUCGCAAG